UACGAAGGGAGCUAGCGUUGUUCGGAAUUACUGGGCGUAAAGGGCGCGUAGGCGGUUCGACAAGUUGGAUGUGAAAGCCCUGGGCUCAACCCGGGAAUUGCAUUCAAUACUGUCUUACUAGAAUUCGGUAGAGGUUGGUAGAAUUCCCAGUGUAGAGGUGAAAUUCGUAGAGAUUGGGAAGAAUACCCGUGGCGAAGGCGGCCAACUGGACCGACAUUGACGCUGAGGCGCGAAAGCGUGGGUAGCAAACAGG
rnacentral:rRNA from 1 species